rnacentral:rRNA from 1 species
CCUACGGGUGGCAGCAGUGAGGAAUAUUGGUCAAUGGACGAGAGUCUGAACCAGCCAAGUAGCGUGAAGGAUGACUGCCCUAUGGGUUGUAAACUUCUUUUAUAAAGGAAUAAAACGAGGCACGUGUGCCUUUUUGCAUGUACUUUAUGAAUAAGGAUCGGCUAACUCCGUGCCAGCAGCCGCGGUAAUACGGAGGAUCCGAGCGUUAUCCGGAUUUAUUGGGUUUAAAGGGAGCGUAGAUGGGUUGUUAAGUCAGCGGUAAAAUUGAGAGGCGCAACCUCUUCGAGCCGUUGAAACUGGUUUUCUUGAGUGAGUGAGAAGUAUGCGGAAUGCGUGGUGUAGCGGUGAAAUGCAUAGAUAUCACGCAGAACUCCGAUUGCGAAGGCAGCAUACCGGCGCUCAACUGACGCUCAUGCACGAAAGUGUGGGUAUCGAACAGGAUUAGAUACCCUUGUAGUC